rfam:Oryza sativa Japonica Group DNA, chromosome 1, cultivar: Nipponbare, complete sequence.
UAUAAGGGAUUUUGAGUUUUUGUUUGUAACGUUUGAUCACUCGUCUUAUUCAAAAUUUUUUGAAAUUAUUAUUUAUUUUAUUUGUGACUUACUUUAUUAUCUAUAGUACUUUAAGCAGAACUUUUCGUUUUUUAUAUUUGCCAAAAAAAUUUAAAUAAGACGAGUGGUCAAAUGUUGUAAGGAAAAACUUAAAAUCCCUUAUA